UUCGUUCUUUCUUUGGCACGUGGCGAAGCGAGGGAAGAACUUUGUUGGUUUUUGUUUGAUGCUGCUGAAAAUGCCAUUCAACUCAAAGAUGAAGACUUUGAAGCAUAAAGGCAGCCUUCUGGUUUGGCUGAAUUUUGCUACUGGAACAUCCUAUGCACCAUCUGACACUUCAGGACACAUCUUAUUUGCUCGUCUGACCAGUUUCAGAUGAUGGACAAGGUUCAAUGCUGUGAAUCUAAUCUGGUUCCAAAGUAGAAGUAGGCUUUUGAAAGCCCAACCAGGAAGAUGGCAGUAGCAGCUCAGUCUUGAAAGGUGGGAGAAAUAUUUCGAAACCUGGGUCUCUCAGGUUAUUUGAAAGGAAGGAAAAAAGCUGAAAGCGUCAACUGUUCUCACUAUUGCUGUGGAAGAGAAACUACUUGGACAGGGUCGGAGGAAUAAAAAUGUUAGAACAAGCAGCAUCGGAUAGAAGUCUGGCAUUAAUGAACCAUCCAGAGCACAGGACAACCCAAAGCCACACAAGAUCGGAUGAUGCAGAGAGUCCUGGCCCAUAGAAUGGCCAAGAGUUAGACAUGACUGAAUGGAUAACAUCAUCAACUCUAGUGCAACAUAGAUUGCUGCAGCAUUUAUAGUGUUAGUUAUAGAACAAAACUGCAGCUUAACAUUGGAAGUGCAAACCAGAAAUAUCAGGCAAGAAGAGCAAAUUAAAGGACUGGAAAUAGAGUACAAAUUACAAGUAUUUGCAGGUGAUCAGGUUUUUAUUUUAGAGGAUCCAUUAAAAUCAGGCCCGAGACUUAAAGACAAAUAUUAGAGGAAAAUACCAGCUUGUCUCUCCACUUUAGAAGCAUUGGUAAACCAAAAUUUUAUAAAUAUGGAAAUCUUAUAAAUAAGGAUAUACUAAAUGAGAAGGGUGAAUUGAAAAUUAGAAUUAGAUUAGAAUUAAAAGACCAAGGGAUAGAACUGGAGUGGUGGUUGCACCUGCAAAUUCCAUCAUGUUAUGUGAAGGAUGUGAAAACGGGGAUUUUUUAUAGAGAAUUAAGAGACAAAUUAUUAGUGGGGGCCAAUGACAAAUUGAUAUGGAUACUAUACAAAUAUUUAUUAGAUUAUAAAAUGGAAGAAGUUAAAGAGGAUGGUUGUAUGGGCUAAAAAUUUUGGAUAUAACAUUGAUUUGGACAAUUGGCAAAAGUUUGGGAGAGAGAUUGGAAAUUGACACUGGCCACAUCAUAUAAAGAGAAUCUUAAAAUGUUUGAUAGGUGGCAUCUCUCCUCGGUGCAAGAUUGGCUAAAAUGUUUAGUAAUGUGUCCCCAAACUGUUGGACCAGGCACAUGCUACCACAUGUGGAGCAAGGAAAUACACUGGAUAUAACUAGAAGAUGGUUUUAUGUUUGGUACGUAUAAGUCUGCCUUUAAAAAAAAUAUAUAAUAAAACAAGGAAAUUUUGGUUAUAAAUUCAUGCACAGCAGUAGAAGAUUGAAAACACCCGUUCAGAGGAGAUAAUAAGGAAGAUGGAUAGACUAACGUUAAAAAUAAAAAGACA